rnacentral:rRNA from 1 species
GAUGAACGCUAGCGGCAGGCCUAAUACAUGCAAGUCGAGGGGCAGCGGGAGUAGCAAUACUUGCCGGCGACCGGCGCACGGGUGCGUAACACGUAUACAAUCUACCUUUAACAGGGGGAUAGCCCGGAGAAAUCCGGAUUAAUACCCCAUAACAAAUUGAAUGGCAUCAUUUGAUUUUGAAAGCUUCGGUGGUUAGAGAUGAGUAUGCGCCUGAUUAGUUAGUUGGUGAGGUAACGGCUCACCAAGACUACGAUCA